rnacentral:lncRNA from 1 species
AACAAAUGUCAUUUCGGCUACAUCUAUGGAAAGGGGUGGAUUGGAGGGGCAUGGAAUGGAAUGGCAUUAGUUGUCAAUGUUAGGAUUACUUAAAAUAGGAUGAAAUGGAACAAAACUUGCUAGAAUCUAUUCAAUCCCAUUCCAUCCGACCUCUAUUUUUCUUUCUUCCAACUUGGCCAUUAUUUUUGUUUUUUUUUUUGUCAGCAAAGAUAAUAUAUUAUAUAUAGAAAGAGUACCAGAGGUACUAAAAUACAGAAGGGGGGUAACCAUGGUAAUGGUUCCAUAAAAAAAAAAAAAAAAACUUCGUACCCCAUUGCCCAGAGGCUCUUCGCUAUGCGAAGGUAUGGGGGAGUAAUG